UGUGUGUGUGUGUGUGUGUGUGUGUGUGUGUGUGUGUAUAUAUAUAUACAUACACCUAUAUACAGUACAUACACA